rnacentral:rRNA from 1 species
UAGGGAAUCUUCCACAAUGGGCGAAAGCCUAAUGGAGCAACGCCGCGUGUGUGAUGAAGGGUUUCGGCUCGUAAAACACUGUUGUAAGAGAAGAAUGACAUUGAGAGUAACUGUUCAAUGUGUGACGGUAUCUUACCAGAAAGGAACGGCUAAAUACGUGC